GACGAACGCUGGCGGCGUGCUUAACACAUGCAAGUCGAACGAAGUGGCGAACGGGUGAGUAACGCGUAAUCAACCUGCCCUUCAGCGGGGGACAACAGUUGGAAACGACUGCUAAUCCCGCAUACUGAAGAGGGGGAUUGCGUCGGAUUGGCUAGUUGGAGGGGUAACGGCCCACCAAGGCGAUGAGCAGUAGCCUGUCUGAGAGGGUGAACGGCCACAUUGGGACCUGGACACGGCCCAGACUCCUACGGGAGGCAGCCGUGGGGAAUCUUCCGCAAUGGACGAAAGUCUGACGGAGCAACGCCGCGUGAGUGAUGACGGCCUUCGGGUUGUAAAGCUCUGUUAAUCGGGACGCGGUACCGCAAUAGAAAGCCACGGCUAACUACGUGCCAGCAGCCGCGGUAAUAC
rnacentral:rRNA from 1 species